rnacentral:rRNA from 1 species
CCCGGCGACCGGCGCACGGGUGAGUAACGCGUGUGCAACCUGCCCGGCACAGUGGGAUAAUCCGGAGAAAUCCGGUCUAAUACCGCGUAACGCGGCCUUGGGGCAUCCCAAGGCCGCCAAAGGGAGCAAUCCCGGCCACGGAUGGGCAUGCGGCGCAUUAGCUAGUCGGCGGGGUAACGGCCCACCGAGGCGACGAUGCGUAGGGGUUCUGAGAGGAAGGCCCCCCACACUGGUACUGAGACACGGACCAGACUCCUACGGGAGGCAGCAG